rnacentral:tRNA from 1 species
AAAAAUUUAGUUAAUUCAUAACGUUAGCUUGUCAAGCUAAAAUUAUUUCCAAAAUAAUAAUUUUUA